CCAACAACCCAACUCAGUCUAAGGGUAGUGAAAGUAAACCCGACCCAAAACAAGAACCCUCACUCUUCAAUUCAUCCUUACCUUUUCCUCUAUGCACUGCCGCUAUCAUCUUGUUUAUGUUCAUUUCCAAAACCCCAUCGCAUCUCACUCAAAGGUGUAAAAGAUAUCUAGCUUCCAAAUUCAUUCACAUUCGCGGAACAAGUAGCGGCGAAAUGGCGUCGGAAACUUCAAGAAGCUUCGUUCGUCGCGAUCGUCUUCGUGAAAUCGAAUCAAAAGUUCAAAAAUGGUGGGAAGAGAAACAAGUUUUCAAAUCUGAACCCGGUAACAAACCACCUCAAGAAGGUGAAAAAUUCUUCGGGAAUUUCCCUUUUCCUUAUAUGAACGGUUACUUACAUUUAGGUCAUGCUUUUUCGCUUUCCAAACUUGAAUUUGCUGCGGCGUUUCAUCGUCUUCGCGGCGCGAAUGUUCUUUUGCCAUUUGCUUUUCAUUGUACUGGUAUGCCUAUUAAGGCUUCUGCUGAUAAGCUUGCUAGAGAGAUUCAACAGUUUGGUAAUCCUCCGGUUUUUCCCGAGGAAAUUGAUGAAUUAGAGAAUUUAACUGUUGUUGAUAAGGAUAAAAAUGCUGGUGGAAAUGAUGAAAAUGAAAAUGCUGUUGCUGGGAAAUUUAAAGGGAAGAAAUCAAAAGUUGCUGCGAAAUCGGGUGGGCAGGUUUAUCAAUGGGAGAUUAUGAGGAGUGUUGGUAUAUCUGAUGCUGAGAUUUCGGAGUUUCAGGAUCCUUAUAAGUGGUUGUCUUAUUUUCCGCCGUUGGCUGUCGAUGAUCUUAAGGCUUUUGGGUUUGGUUGUGAUUGGAGAAGGUCGUUUAUUACGACAGAUAUGAAUCCUUAUUUUGAUGCUUUUGUUAGGUGGCAUAUGAGGAAGUUGAAGGCGUCUGGUAAGGUUGUUAAGGAUGUUAGGUAUACAGUUUUUUCGCCAUUGGAUGGACAGCCUUGUGCGGAUCAUGAUAGGGCUAGUGGUGAAGGUGUUCAGCCGCAAGAGUAUACGAUUAUUAAGAUGGAGGUGGUUUCUCCUUUUCCUGAGAAGUUUAAGGUUUUGGAGGGAAAGAAGGUUUUUCUUGCUGCGGCGACGUUGAGGCCUGAGACUAUGUAUGGUCAAACAAAUGCUUGGGUGUUGCCUGAUGGGAAAUAUGGGGCUUUUGAGAUUAAUGAAACGGAGGUGUUUGUUGUAGCGCAUAGGGCAGCGCUUAAUCUUGCUUACCAAAAUCACUCUAGGGUACCUCAGAAACCGACUUGUUUGCUUGAGCUUACGGGUCAGGAUUUGAUCGGGCUUCCUGUGAAAUCUCCUCUUUCCUUGAAUGAGAUUAUAUAUGUGCUUCCUAUGUUGUCUAUUUUGAUGGAUAAAGGUACCGGAGUGGUGACCAGUGUGCCUAGUGACUCUCCUGAUGAUUACAUGGCGUUGCAGGAUCUGAAGUCCAAAGCGGCGUUUAGGGCGAAGUUUGGUGUCAAGGAUGAAUGGGUGUUGCCGUUUGAGGUUUUGCCGAUCAUUGAAGUUCCGCCAUUUGGAAACAAGUGCGCAGAGACAGUUUGCCUGCAGAUGAAAAUCAAAUCUCAGAAUGAGAAAGACAAGCUUGCAGAAGCCAAGAAACAAACAUACUUGAAAGGAUUCACUGACGGAACUAUGAUUGUCGGAGAAUUUAAAGAUAAGAAAGUUCAGGAAGCUAAGCCCUUGAUUAGGAGCAAGCUUUUGGAAACAGGUGAGGCAAUUGUGUACAGUGAGCCAGAGAAGAGGGUGAUGUCUAGAUCUGGUGAUGAAUGUGUUGUAGCUCUGACAGAUCAGUGGUACAUUACAUAUGGGGAGUCAGAAUGGAAGCAGUUAACUGAUGAAUGCCUGUCUAACAUGAGCCUGUAUCAUGAUGAGACGCGACAUGGUUUUGAGCAUACUUUGGGCUGGUUGAAUCAGUGGGCUUGCUCACGUUCAUUUGGUCUUGGCACACGUAUACCAUGGGAUGAACAGUUCCUAGUCGAGUCUCUAUCGGACUCGACCAUUUACAUGGCUUAUUACACUAUUGCACACUAUUUGCAGAACAAUGACAUGUAUGGAACCAGUGAAUCAUCUAUCAAACCUCAGCAACUGACUGAUGAUGUCUGGGAUUAUAUUUUCUGUGGUGGACCUUUCCCCAAGUCCACUGAUAUUUCAUCAUCGGUUUUAGAAAAAAUGAAGCUUGAGUUUGAGUACUGGUAUCCAUUUGAUCUUCGGGUGUCUGGUAAAGAUCUCAUCCAAAAUCAUCUUACUUUUUGCCUUUACAACCACACUGCAAUUUUCCCCAAGCGUCACUGGCCUCGUGGGUAUAGAUGCAAUGGCCACUUAAUGCUCAAUUCUGAGAAAAUGUCCAAGUCUACUGGAAAUUUCAGAACUAUUCGUCAGGCAAUUGAGGAGUUUUCUGCUGAUGCCACACGCUUCUCUUUGGCUGAUGCUGGUGAUGGUGUUGAUGAUGCCAAUUUUGUGUUUGAGACAGCAAAUGCGGCAAUUCUCAGGCUCACCAAAGAGCUUACAUGGUUUGAAGAGACUCUGGAUGCAGAAUCUUCUAUGAGAACAGGUCCACCGUCUAUCUAUGCUGAUCGUGUGUUUGCCAAUGAAAUUAACAUUGCCGUCAAAACAACUGAGCAAAAUUACUCCAACUAUAUGUUUCGAGAAGCACUAAAGACUGGCUUUUAUGAUCUUCAGGCUGCUAGGGAUGAGUAUAGAUUGUCAUGUGGGGCUAGUGGGUUCAAUCGUGAUUUGGUGCGGCGUUUUAUGGAUGUGCAGACACGUCUUCUAGCACCUAUCUGUCCGCAUUAUGCAGAGUUUAUUUGGAGAGAGAUUUUGAAGAAGGAUGGUUUUGUGGUGAAGGCAGGUUGGCCAACAGCAGAUGCUCCUGACCUUACACUAAAGAGUGCCAACAAAUAUCUACAGGAUUCUAUUGUUCUGAUAAGGAAGUUGCUUCAGAAGCAACUUUCAGGCUCAAAGAAAGGAAAUAAGAAAGGCGCUCCUGUUGUAGUGCCAACAGAAAUCAAGUUCACAUGCUUGGUAUAUGUAAAUGAACAAUUUGAUGGUUGGAAAGCUGAGUGCCUUAAGAUUCUCCAGAACAGCUUUAACGAAGAUUCUCGAACUUUUGCUCCAGAUUCAGAAAUUAUGGCGGCUUUACAACAGAGUUCUGUAGGUCAAUCUUCUGAUUUUAAACGAACUCAAAAGUUAUGUAUGCCUUUCUUAAGGUUUAAGAAGGAUGAGGCGAUUGCACUCGGGGCUCAAGCCCUGAAUUUGAGACUGCCAUUUGGUGAAAUUGAGGUUCUUCGGGAAAACUUGGACUCGAUCAAGAGACAGAUAGGUUCAAAAGAGGUGGUCGAUGUGGAAAUUUUAUCUGCAGCUGAUGCUGAUUCUUUGGCUAAAGCUGGAUCUCAUGCAUCUCUACUAAGAGACAAUCCUCCAUCCCCUGGAAGUCCUACUGCCGUCUUCUUACCCAUGUAGAUACUGGAUUUCAUGGAACUGAAUGCAACUUAACUUGUUAAAAAAAUCGCUGCAAUUGGCGUUUUAUUAGAGAAGAGGAUCUCUACGAACUGAAGAUAUGAAUUUUGAGAUAAAGAUUGGAACUGCAGUGGGCAAGUUUGUCUCUGUUAGCUGAAAUCCUUGUGAGAACAUGCUGAAGUUUUGUAACAUUGUAUCUUCAAGAAGAUAGUACAUUUACAAGUUUUAAUCAAGAUUUAAGAUCAUAGUAUAGUUGGAUUAGACUGACAAGAUAAAUUCUUUUAUGCUUUCUUUAUGUCCAGUCAACAAUUAUGUGUUCAAUAGUUAUGAUUUUUAGACUUGAGAAUA